AGUCGAGCGGUAACAUUUCUAGCUUGCUAGAAGAUGACGAGCGGCGGACGGGUGAGUAACACUUAGGAAUCUACCUAGUAGUGGGGGAUAGCUCGGGGAAACUCGAAUUAAUACCGCAUACGACCUACGGGAGAAAGGGGGCAACUUGUUGCUCUCGCUAUUAGAUGAGCCUAAGUCGGAUUAGCUAGUUGGUGGGGUAAAGGCCUACCAAGGCGACGAUCUGUAGCUGGUCUGAGAGGAUGAUCAGCCACACCGGGACUGAGACACGGCCCGGACUCCUACGGGAGGCAGCAGUGGGGAAUAUUGGACAAUGGGGGCAACCCUGAUCCAGCCAUGCCGCGUGUGUGAAGAAGGCCUUUUGGUUGUAAAGCACUUUAAGCAGUGAAGAAGACCAAACGGUUAAUACCCGUUAGCGACGACAUUAGCUGCAGAAUAAGCACCGGCUAACUCUGUGCCAGCAGCCGCGGUAAUACAGAGGGUGCAAGCGUUAAUCGGAAUUACUGGGCGUAAAGCGAGCGUAGGUGGCUUGAUAAGUCAGAUGUGAAAACCCCGGGCUUAACCUGGGAACUGCAUCUGAUACUGUUAGGCUAGAAUAGGUGAGAGGAAGGUAGAAUUCCAGGUGUAGCGGUGAAAUGCGUAGAGAUCUGGAGGAAUACCGAUGGCGAAGGCAGCCUUCUGGCAUCAUAUUGACACUGAGGUUCGAAAGCGUGGGUAGCAAACAGGAUUAGAUACCCUGGUAGUCCACGCCGUANACGAUGUCUACUAGUCGUUGGGUCCCUUGAGGACUUAGUGACGCAGCUAACGCAAUAAGUAGACCGCCUGGGGGAGUACGGCCGCAAGGUUUAAACUCAAAUGAAUUGACGGGGGCCCGCACAAGCGGUGGAGCAUGUGGUUUAAUUCGAUGCAACGCGAAGAACCUUACCUGGUCUUGA
rnacentral:rRNA from 1 species